AGAAAAUAAAGUUGUGCAUGGCGGUCCAAGGCAAUUGCCGGGCCGCCGCCUAGACGCAACACCCUCUGCAUAUCUACCGCGUUGCUUUGGCGGGACGGCAGCCAACAGCUCUGCUGGGAACCUGUCCGCAGGGCCCCUCAAGGCCCCGUGAGUGCCCGCCAGAGGACCAUCAAACUCAUGUUAAACCGUGAUGUCUGAGCUUUACAAGCAAUAAGUUAA
rnacentral:misc_RNA from 1 species